UGGGGUUGCGACCGCCUUGCUCUUGCUUCGACAGUGACAAGAAUAAUAAUAAUCUGCUCGCCGCUGGAUAGAUGAUAUACUUGGUAAAUACAGCAAAGCAAAGCAUGUUAGAGCCACCUCAGUCAGCCUUAGGCCGCGCCAAAAAAAUAUUUGUGUGUGUGUGUCUGUUUGUAAAUAUGUACUAUCAAAAGAAUGUUGUUUGUUCUGUUAACAUGUUACCUGUAGUGUAAUUUUGGUCAUAGAAGGAUGAUCACCAUUUGUUGAUGUUGGUAUAGGUC
rnacentral:lncRNA from 1 species